UUGAACGCUGGCGGCAUGCCUUACACAUGCAAGUCGAACGGCAGCGCGGGGCGACCUGGCGGCGAGUGGCGAACGGGUGAGUAAUAUAUCGGAACGUACCCUGGAGUGGGGGAUAACGUAGCGAAAGUUACGCUAAUACCGCAUACGAUCUAAGGAUGAAAGCAGGGGACCGCAAGGCCUUGUGCUCCUGGAGCGGCCGAUAUCUGAUUAGCUAGUUGGUGGGGUAAAGGCCUACCAAGGCAUCGAUCAGUAGCUGGUCUGAGAGGACGACCAGCCACACUGGGACUGAGACACGGCCCAGACUCCUACGGGAGGCAGCAGGGGGGAAUUUUGGACAAUGGGGGCAACCCUGAUCCAGCAAUGCCGCGUGAGUGAAGAAGGCCUUCGGGUUGUAAAGCUCUUUUGUCAGGGAAGAAACGGUUCUGGUUAAUACCUGGGGCUAAUGACGGUACCUGAAGAAUAAGCACCGGCUAACUACGU
rnacentral:rRNA from 1 species